GAGAGGGGCAUGGGAACCAGAUGAGAGAUCACUGCAAAUAGAGCAUGAGGACGGAUCAGUGAUGCUGUAACUCAGCCCCGCGCUGGCCAGCGGAGAGGCGAGGACGGGAGGACUGGCCCAUGGGACAGGGUGUUGGGUGUCCCUCUCCGACACCAGUUGGGCGUUGGUUUCCUGAUCUCAUGGUUUAUUGAGUGUCCAGAGGCCAUCUUCCAGUCACAGCCAACACGUGUACAUCUCCACUACAGUUGUGGAGGUGCUGACCUGCAUAGCUCCACACACACACUGCUCCCAGCCCCAGGGGGCCGCGUGGGACCGGCCCGGGGCCCGGCAGGCACCCCUCAGCCUCCUGUCGGGGGACACAGGAGGGUUUGAUCCCGGGAAACAGCAUCCUGGGAGUACCCAUUAAAAACUAUCUGCCGUGAAAUAUAAUAAAAGGAAAAACUUUUUUCUUAUUUAUAAUCUUUUUGUUUAUCAAGCUGUAUUGGAAGUUGAAAUGCCGACUUUGAGUGAACAUUGUUUUUAUUAUAUGUGUUUAAAUCUUACUACAUCUUAGAAUUGUGAAUCACUCUCAGCUUAAAGUAAUACAAUGACUUUAAAGAGCAAAAUGACUUCCUUUAAUGAAUGGAACUAGUUUAAACAUAUGAAGAAUGGUCAACGAUCUCUUCCAUAAUGUUGUUCUUAGAAGACAUCUCCUAUUCCUUGCAGCUAAUGCCAAGCUCAGGCUGCCUCGCGAGUUUAAAUUAUGUUCAUUUAAAUGUGGAUUAAUUUAAAUGCCUUAAUGAUUAUUAAUGCCACCAAAUAAUCCACCAGGCGUUUGGGAACCCAUAGGUUAGGCCUGUUGAAUGCAGUGUUGGUUUGAACUGUGAUCUGACGGUAGCUUCAGUUUUAGGCCUAUCUUACGCAAGAACAAGCAGUUCCCCAGGACAGAAAGACCCCAAGACGGGAUGGUCCAGUCUGGGGAAAAGCUAUGGACCCUGAGUCAAGAGGCAGGGCGCUGGGGUCUGGCCCCUGCUCUAGCGAAGGGGCCCCUGGUUCUUUGGGGACCACAGGGGGUCAGGGGCCCGCUUCACGCCUGCUCCACAGUCUAAGUGUAGAGCCUGGAAGGUGGAUAUCCCAGAAUGCACUUCUCUGAG
ensembl:lncRNA